rnacentral:rRNA from 1 species
UACGUAGGGGGCAAGCGUUGUCCGGAUUUAUUGGGCGUAAAGAGCGUGUAGGCGGUUAGGUAGGUCCGUUGUGAAAACUCGAGGCUCAACCUCGAGACGCCGAUGGAAACCAUCUGACUAGAGUCCGGAAGAGGAGAGUGGAAUUCCUGGUGUAGCGGUGAAAUGCGCAGAUAUCAGGAAGAACACCCGUGGCUAAGGCGGCUCUCUAGUACGGUACUGACGCUGAGACGCGAAAGCUGGGGAGCGAACAGG